GUACGGGAGGCAGCAGUGGGGAAUAUUGGUUAAUGUGCGAAAGCGCGAACCAGCAACGCCGCGUGUGCGAUGAAGGCCUUCGGGUCGUAAAGCACUUUUUGCAGGGACGAGGAAGGACGGUACCUGCAGAAUAAGUCUCGGCUAACUACGUGCCAGCAGCCGCGGUAAAACGUAGGAGACGAGCGUUAUCCGGAUUUACUGGGCGUAAAGCGCGUGCAGGCGGCAUGGCAAGUUGGAUGUGAAAGCUCCUGGCUUAACUGGGAGAGGUCGUUCAAUACUGCCAAGCUUGAGAGUGGUAGAGGGAAGCGGAAUUCCGGGUGUAGUGGUGAAAUGCGUAGAUAUCCGGAGGAACACCAGUGGCGAAAGCGGCUUCCUGGUCCAUUUCUGACGCUCAGACGCGAAAGCUAGGGUAGCAAACGGGAUUAGAUACCCGUGUAGUCC
rnacentral:rRNA from 1 species